rnacentral:rRNA from 1 species
CACGUAGGGCGCAAGCGUUGUCCGGAAUUAUUGGGCGUAAAGAGCUCGUAGGCGGUUUGUCGCGUCUGCUGUGAAAACUCGGGGCUUAACUCCGGGCCUGCAGUGGGUACGGGCAGACUAGAGUGCGGUAGGGGUGACUGGAAUUCCUGGUGUAGCGGUGGAAUGCGCAGAUAUCAGGAGGAACACCGGUGGCGAAGGCGGGUCUCUGGGCCGAUACUGACGCUGAGGAGCGAAAGCGUGGGGAGCGAACAGG